AGAGCGCCGUCGACCCCACGCCACGCAGAGGUGAAGAUACGCAGGACGUCCUCUAAAGCAACUUCCGUGGGUGCCAGGUUGUGGGCUGGGGGCGGUGCUGACCUUGAGAGAGCGGAGGAGGCGCAGGCGCAGCACAGUUUAAACUUGAUUUUGUGAGGGGACGAACAGCGUGACAAUUAAAAGAAGAUCUGGGAAUCAAAAGCUUCCUGAGGCCUUCACCAGAAGCAGAUGCUGGUGCCGUGCUUCUACAGCCUGCAGAACUGAAUACCCAUCUCGAGUUCUGGAUAUGUGCUCUGAGAAGGUGCCCAUGUCACCGACCACACUGGAGGCCAAUGCAGAUACUGGGGGAAGGUUCCAUGGUAGCUAAGUGUGGACAAGCUAAUCACUGAAGUUCCCUGAUGCAGAGUUGAUAAUCUCUCUAGAGUUGGAUGAAAGACUGUGCUGCCUUGAAGCUCUGAGAGAUGCCAUGCCAAUUCAAGGCAGGGUCUUUAUUGUUGAAACUCUUGCGUAAUGACAUCUUUAUUCAGGUGAAAAUACAGGAUGAAUUUCAACUAUAUGAUAUUGUUUAUGUUCCUCAGACAUGUUAUUUGUCUUUACAAAGAUUGGUUUCAAUAAACUGUGUGACUGAUAUUAAAUAAACAUGGAAUUUUACACAUUCAUAA
rnacentral:lncRNA from 1 species